UGCUUUACACAUGCAAGUCGAACGGCAGCACGGACUUCGGUCUGGUGGCGAGUGGCGAACGGGUGAGUAAUACAUCGGAACGUGCCCAGUCGUGGGGGAUAACGUAGCGAAAGCUACGCUAAUACCGCAUACGAUCUAAGGAUGAAAGCGGGGGAUCGCAAGACCUCGCGCGAUUGGAGCGGCCGAUGGCAGAUUAGGUAGUUGGUGGGGUAAAGGCCUACCAAGCCGACGAUCUGUAGCUGGUCUGAGAGGACGACCAGCCACACUGGGACUGAGACACGGCCCAGACUCCUACGGGAGGCAGCAGUGGGGAAUUUUGGACAAUGGGCGAAAGCCUGAUCCAGCCAUGCCGCGUGAGUGAAGAAGGCCUUCGGGUUGUAAAGCUC
rnacentral:rRNA from 1 species